ensembl:lncRNA
UGUGAAAUUAUGCUGUGUUCAAGACAACUGGGAACUUGGAAAUCUCCGGCAUCCGACUUCAGUGCAUUCAAGGGCUUGUAACUAAGCAUUUCACGGUGCUGAUCUCCCUCUAUCCUCCCUACGUCUCCUGGUGCCAUCACUACAUCUGAAGUCUGCUUUCAUGUGGCAAGUGGCUCAGCAGCAUGACGUGAUGCAGUAUGGGAAGCUGGAGGAGUUUGUGACUGGUAACAGAGAUGGUUCUGGAGCUGCUGACCUUAAGGCAGAGGGUCCAACUCAUCCUGGGACUGAGAGCGAGGACAGCAUCUAUUCUCAACCUGACCCCUACUGACCUGGAGGAGUGUGAGCAGUCUGUCUCUGUCUCUGAACCAGAGCAUCUGAAGACACUGCUGCAGCAUCAUAGACAUCCUGGGCACCUUAAAGAAGCUAAGGAUCCCUCAGAUGUUCUCUUCUACGAUUCUGAUACCAUCCUGUCCACGUUGUUCCUCCUCAUUCCCUCACUGGAGUCUAAACCGACCCAGAGAGGUGGAGGAAAGGGCAGGUUGAAGACAGUGAUGUGACGACAGAAGGGGUGAAGAACUAGUCUGGUGAGAAGGGACAGCAAGAAGUCAGCGGGGAAGAUGAAGACACCAAUGAGGAAAGUGAUGAGGACACUAAAAGACUGGAAGAGGCUGGGAACUCUGGGCAGCAGAAACGGCCAUCAUCAGGGGCCGUCAAUGGUAUUGAGAUUAAGGACAGAAUACUUUGCAUAGAUACUGAGUAUACAAAACAUUUAAGAACACCCGACUGACUUAUGAAAAAUGCUAUGAUUUCUUAUUG